CCUACGGGAGGCAGCAGUGAGGAAUAUUGGUCAAUGGGCGCAAGCCUGAACCAGCCAAGCCGCGUGCGGGAUGAAGGUUCUAUGGAUCGUAAACCUCUUUUAUAAAGGAAUAAAGUUUAGGACGUGUCCUAUUUUGUAUGUACCUUAUGAAUAAGGAUCGGCUAACUCCGUGCCAGCAGCCGCGGUAAUACGGAGGAUCCGAGCGUUAUCCGGAUUUAUUGGGUUUAAAGGGUGCGUAGGCGGAUUUUUAAGUGAGCGGUGAAAGUUUGGGGCUUAACCAGAGAAUUGCCGUUGAAACUGGGGAGCUUGAGUAUGGAUGAGGUAGGCGGAAUGCAUGGUGUAGCGGUGAAAUGCUUAGAGAUCACACAGAACCCCGAUUGCGAAGGCAGCCUGCCAAGCCAUGACUGACGCUGAUGCACGAAAGCGUGGGGAUCAAACAGGAUUAGAUACCCUUGUAGUC
rnacentral:rRNA from 1 species